rnacentral:piRNA from 1 species
UAUAGUAACAAAAUUGCCUGGCUGGAGCCCC